AGAGUUUGAUCCUGGCUCAGAACGAACGCUGGCGGCGUGCCUAACACAUGCAAGUCGAGCGAGAAAGCCCGCAAGGGUGAGUAAAGCGGCGAACGGGUGCGUAACACGUGGGUAAUCUGCCCUGAGGUCCGGAAUAACUCGCCGAAAGGCGUGCUAAUGCCGGAUGAGACCACGGGAGCUUCGGCUCCUGGGGGAAAAGGUGGCCUCUGUACACAAGCUAUCGCUUCAGGAUGAGCCCGCGGCCCAUCAGCUAGUUGGCGGGGUAAUGGCCCACCAAGGCUACGACGGGUAGCUGGUCUGAGAGGACGAUCAGCCACACUGGAACUGAGACACGGUCCAGACUCCUACGGGAGGCAGCAGUGGGGAAUCUUGCGCAAUGGGCGAAAGCCUGACGCAGCAACGCCGCGUGUGUGAUGAAGGUCUUCGGAUCGUAAAGCACUGUCGGGAGGGACGAAUAAGGUGCGGGCUAACAUCCCGCGUCGAUGACGGUACCUCCAAAGGAAGCACCGGCUAACUCUGUGCCAGCAGCCGCGGUAAUACAGAGGGUGCAAGCGUUGUUCGGAAUUAUUGGGCGUAAAGCGCGUGUAGGCGGCUUCGCAAGUUGGGUGUGAAAGCCCUCGGCUUAACCGAGGAAGUGCGCCCAAAGCUACGAGGCUUGAGUACCGGAGAGGGUGGCGGAAUUCCCGGUGUAGAGGUGAAAUUCGUAGAUAUCGGGAGGAACACCAGUGGCGAAGGCGGCCACCUGGACGGAUACUGACGCUGAGACGCGAAAGCGUGGGUAGCAAACAGGAUUAGAUACCCUGGUAGUCCACGCCGUAAACGAUGAGCGCUAGGUGUUGUGGGUGUUGACCCCUGCAGUGCCGCAGCUAACGCAUUAAGCGCUCCGCCUGGGAAGUACGGCCGCAAGGCUAAAACUCAAAGGAAUUGAUGG
rnacentral:rRNA from 1 species